AAGCGUCGGAUGGUUUUUAUUUUUGAAGGACUUCUUGACGUUGUGUGUUUCCUCUUCCGGUGUGCUGCAGCUGUAUCGUCAUUGAUCCGAAGCAAAUAUGGCACCAGGAGCCACUUCCGCGACGGAGUCAGAAAAAGACUCCAAAAUGUUUAAAUAUCAAGAUGCUUCGAUAUCUUUACCAAAACACUCCUACUGGUAUGACUUCUGGCUCUUCGUGGUUUUUGACAUCGCGUUAUUCUUCUUCGUGUACUUCAUAGUCCCGUAACACGGUUCGUCCCCUGGACUUUGGAGACUGAAGAUGUGGAGUGAUUGUCCUGCCCUGCUGUCAGGAAUGCUAACCAGCUUUGACUGAAUUUAACACUACCUAACUGGAUAUCACAUUUCAAGUUUCCACGGCUUGGACCAUGGGACUGCAAGUUUUAUACAGAGGGAUCCUUCAUCGACCUCAGAGAUGUAAACCGCAGAGCUCCAUCCU